rnacentral:lncRNA from 1 species
GAUCUAUUUAUGCAUAGGCAACAAAGCCAUGGAUACGAACGUGCGUGCACAUUAGAUAGAUGCAGUUCUUUCAGCGUUUGUGAAACUAAACGAAUGUCGCUACUUCAACUAAAAGAAGACACAUUAGAGAAAGAAGACGAAAAAAAAAAA